rnacentral:misc_RNA from 1 species
CCACCCCGAUUAUCACAUGAUCAAGGUCCAGAUGACGGACGGCACCGUGUUCGAGACGCGCUCGACCUGGGGUAAGGAAGGCGACACGCUGCAGCUGGACAUCGAUCCGAAGGUCCACCCGGCCUGGACCGGCGGCAACGCCCGCGUCCUCGACCAGGGCGGCCAGGUCGCGCGCUUUAACAAGCGCUUCGGCGGUCUCACGCUCGGCAAGAAGUAAGCUUAUCCUGCGUGGUCCCCGUUCUGGAGACCGCGCGGCUGAGGCUGAG